rnacentral:rRNA from 1 species
GAUGAACGCUGGCGGCGUGCCUAAUACAUGCAAGUCGAGCGAACAGAUAAGGAGCUUGCUCCUUUGACGUUAGCGGCGGACGGGUGAGUAACACGUGGGUAACCUACCUAUAAGACUGGGAUAACUUCGGGAAACCGGAGCUAAUACCGGAUAACAUUUGGAACCGCAUGGUUCUAAAGUGAAAGAUGGUUUUGCUAUCACUUAUAGAUGGACCCGCGCCGUAUUAGCUAGUUGGUAAGGUAACGGCUUACCAAGGCAACGAUACGUAGCCGACCUGAGAGGGUGAUCGGCCACACUGGAACUGAGACACGGUCCAGACUCCUACGGGAGGCAGCAGUAGGGAAUCUUCCGCAAUGGGCGAAAGCCUGACGGAGCAACGCCGCGUGAGUGAUGAAGGGGUUCGGCUCGUAAAACUCUGUUAUUAGGGAAGAACAAACGUGUAAGUAACUGUGCACGUCUUGACGGCACCUAAUCAGAAAGCCACGGCUAACUACGUG